rnacentral:hammerhead_ribozyme from 1 species
AUCCAACUGACGAGUCCCAAAUAAGACGAAACGCACGUCAAACUGGAU